GACUAGCACUAGAUCAACCUUGGAAAACGUCUUGUGCUGACCAUCUGGAAAAACAAAGCCACAAAGAUAAACUGUAAUACAUAAAGUAAUAGAUAAACGUAAGACACGGGGGAGCUUGCAUAUGAUUGGUUAAGAUGUGUUGUUUGAAGGUUCUUAGACAUGUGAUAGGUUAAAGUAUAGAUAAAGUAGUAGUGGUUUUACCUAUAUAAUGUGUGUAAAAUGUGAAGCUCUUUGGAAUCUAAUCCGAGACACAGCCCAAGAUCAGAACUGCCAGACCUCAACAGCUUGCUGACCAUACCGUGCAGAAGCUGGAGUCACCAGAUGAUCUAAUCUUGACUGGCCAUUAAGAAAAGUUUAUCUGCCUUACUGGGAGUGAUAUCCCAAUACUCUUGUGGAGCCAUCCAUCUUGUAGAGCCAUCUGGAGCUAUCAGUAGAACUACAAUAACAUCAUAUAGCAUGCUACCCUGUUCAUCAUGACUACUAUAAUACAUGCAUCUCCAGUCUGCUACAAGAAUCUGAGUUUGAAUCCUAUGCUCAUCAUUAAACCCAUCCACAAAAUACAGAUGUCUGCUUCUGAUUGUUAGGUCAUCAAAGUGGAUACAUUACAAACAUCCUUAUUUUCCUUUAGGUCAGAUACCAACUCUGUGAACAUCUCAUUUAUAAAUGACUAACACCCCACUAGUUUAGAAUGCAACUAUAGCCCAAGGACUCUGCCAUCCCAUCCCCACCCUUGCAUUAUUUCUGCCAUGCUUUUCAACUACAGAAACAAGAGAGGAUACUUCCAUUUCAAAGAGGAAAGGAAAGAGGUUCCACCUGCUUCCAGAAAGCAGCACUACUGAAGCAGCAGGUGUGGGACUGAGACACAGGUAGAAAUACCAGUAUGAUUUCAUCUGCCCCCAUUGAAGGCCAUGGGGACCAAAUUCUCAACAGAAGAUAACUGGGGCAGCUCCUUUGACAUCAAUGGUAUCACUGUAAUUUAUGCAAGCUGAGGAUCUGAGCCCCAGAAGGUUUACCACUGCCUCCCACAAACAGAGGAGCAGACACAGAAGAAGUGAAGACCCUAACCGUCUGGAAGUCAUUUCUAGCAGCAAGUUCAUGUUCUAAAACAGCUUAGUCUGUGUGGAUGAGGCCAAACUGUUAUAAGCGGGUUAAAAAACAACAAGUUCUAUUUUUGGGGGGGUAGAUUUUUUCAAUCCAGGCAAAACACAACUUUGGGCAAAUUGUGUUCUAACACAGUAGGCCAUCCUCACAGGCUGGGCAUUAGAACAUGUUAGAACGUGGCUCAGCUGCCCCUGAGUUUAAUGAAACAAACCACUAUUUGUAUUUAUUAAUUGCAUAUAUAGCACCAACUGGGUGCUUCAGAAACCAACAUAAGGACAAGGUCUUUGCUUCAAACAGCCAACGACCCACGGCCCCACUCCAGCAACUCACAGCCACACAGGUGUAACUUUAAGCACAUGACCACACUGGGACUAGUCAGAAGCUUAAAGUUAUGCUGGAUCAGGACCAAAGGGCCCAGUCCUGUAAGAUGCUGACCACUCUCCAUUUCUAAUGAAGUCAGUAGGAGAUAAGGAUACUCUGCCACUUGUAGGAUCAGACAACAUUUAGCAGUCACUUGGCUUAAUGCACUGCUAGAGGAACACAAAUACUAUAGUGAUGAGCACGGUGUUCAUACAGCAUGCCCAGUGGCCAAAGUCCUUACACAGAUGGCUCAAGGUAGGUUCCCAUUCAAAAAGCAAAGCAUGGGACUCAAGAACUGACAAAAAAGCAUGAUUUGCAUACAGACUUUGAAUUUAUCCAAAGAUCUUGAAUUUUAAAAAGUGCUUGCCGUCAUCCUAGUCAAAAUGAAAGGCUGCUCUGAUUCUCAUUUACCUAUUGCUUACAGCAAGUCAAUUUGAUUUCUUUAACUGUUAAUUCACUGACUUUAAAUGUUUCUUCAAUAACUUUCCUCACGGCCUUUGAAAGAAACUUUGAUCUCAGGGACAGAAGAUGUAACUAGCAACUCUUUCUUUUUUAAAGCUUAUGAUCUUUUUUUAUUAAUAUACAUUUGUUCAAAA